UACGAAGGGGGCUAGCGUUGCUCGGAAUCACUGGGCGUAAAGCGCACGUAGGCGGCUUUUUAAGUCAGGGGUGAAAUCCUGGAGCUCAACUCCAGAACUGCCUUUGAUACUGAGAAGCUUGAGUCCGGGAGAGGUGAGUGGAACUGCGAGUGUAGAGGUGAAAUUCGUAGAUAUUCGCAAGAACACCAGUGGCGAAGGCGGCUCACUGGGACGGUACUGACGCUGAGACGCGAAAGCGUGGGGAGCGAACAGG
rnacentral:rRNA from 1 species